AGUGAACGCUGGCGGUAGGCCUACCACAUGCAAGUCGAACGGCAGCACAGUAAGAGCUUGCUCUUACGGGUGGCGAGUGGCGGACGGGUGAGGAAUACAUCGGAAUCUACUUUUUCGUGGGGGAUAACGUAGGGAAACUUACGCUAAUACCGCAUACGACCUACGGGUGAAAGCAGGGGAUCUUCGGACCUUGCGCGAUUGAAUGAGCCGAUGUCGGUUUAGCUAGUUGGGGGGGUAAAGGCCCACCAAGGCGACGAUCCGUAGCUGGUCUGAGAGGAUGUAUCAGCAGACGAGAAGAGAGGAAGGGUGCAGACAUCGACGGGAGGACGCAGUCGGGACUAUUGCAGGAGGGGGGAGAGGGGGAUACAGCAAAAUCGGGGGAAUGAAGAAGGCGUUCGGGUGCGAAAGCGAUGUUGUAGGGAAAGAAAAGAAGCAGGUUAAGAACGGGAUGUUCUGACGGUACCUAAAGAAGAAGCACCGGCUAACUUCGUG
rnacentral:rRNA from 1 species